AUGAAAACAAGAGCAAGAAUAUGUGUUUUUUAUUGCAGUGUUCUUGCAGUUACAUGGUUAUAUUCUUCUAUGGCAUUCAUUACUUUCGACAUCUCAAAUUUCAAGUUUUCACUAACAUCUAGUAAGCUUUAUCAAAAUAAUAUGCAAAAUGCAAUCAUUGAAGAAGAAAAAAAAAAGAUUACUUUCUGUUUGACUAAACUGGGUGUCAAAAUGGAGACAUCAUUGCUGUUUGUAAUACAACUAUGUUGUUUAGAUAUAAGUUUUUUUUUUUUUAUAAAUAAAAGUACAAAAUUCAGAUAA